CACAGAAUGGGGAGUAGAGGAUUUCUCAUUCACAACCAAAGCAGCAGCGUCCAGGUGCAUCCCCUUCCUCCGUCAAAACCACGCCCAUUUCAUUCUUCUCAAUUCCCAAUUCCAAAUUAGGGUUAGGGUUUUCACAAUCUCAAUGACCUUCUCUUCUUCCUUCACCUUACAAUCCCUAUUCCACUACCGCUACUACUACUCCCUUUGUCUUCGUCGUUGUCGUUCGUAAGGAUUAAUCAAUUAACCUAUCGAAUCGUUUCAGUAUCUUCUUCUUCUUUUUCUUCCAUGGACCUCUCUCACCCUCAGUCUAACUUGUCCCUCGGAUUUUCUUCCUCCCACGCUUCGCCGCCUCCUCGCUCCGACCCGCCGGUGCCGCUGCAGCUCAUGGAACCGCAGACGGAGAAUGGCAACUUAGAUGUUGAAUCGGACGACGAUGAGGACAAAGAAGUCGAGGAGUUUCGCAUUCUAGGCCACUCAAUGUGCCUCAAGAGGCGAAGAGAUUGCGACUCCUCAUCCUCCUCCUCCGCCGCCAAGAGGGUUUCCGUCGAGCCCGAUCUCGACGCGCGUAAGGCAGCGGUGCGCGCGUGGGGUUGCCAACCCCUCUCCAUCGCGGACCCCGACGUCCACGAGAUAAUGGAAAAAGAGAAGAAACGUCAAUUUCGCGGGAUUGAACUCAUAGCCUCCGAGAAUUUCGUGUGCAGAGCCGUGAUGGAAGCGUUGGGAAGCCACUUGACGAACAAGUACUCUGAGGGAAUGCCCGGUGCGCGCUACUACGGCGGGAACCAGUACAUCGACGAAAUCGAAACGCUCUGUUGCGAACGUGCUUUGAACGCGUUCGGUCUCGACCCCAAGUGUUGGGGAGUGAACGUGCAGCCAUAUUCGUGCACAUCUGCUAAUUUUGCUGUUUACACGGGGUUGUUGCUGCCCGGUGAUCGUAUCAUGGGGUUGGAUACUCCUUCUGGAGGGAACACUAGUCACGGUUACUAUACUCCCAAUGGGAAGAAAGUUUCUGGGGCUUCCAUUUUCUUUGAGAGCUUGCCCUACAAGGUGAACCCUCAAACGGGUUAUAUUGAUUACGAUAAGCUUGAGGAAAGGGCGCUUGAUUUUCGCCCCAAGAUACUUAUUUGUGGUGGGAGCUCCUACCCUCGAGAGUGGGAUUAUGCGAGGUUUAGGCACAUUGCGGAUAAGUGUGGAGCUGUGUUGUUGUGUGACAUGGCACAGAUUAGUGGCAUAAUUGCAGCCAAGGAGUGUGUGAAUCCUUUUGAUUAUUGUGACAUUGUUACUUCGACAACUCACAAGAGUCUUCGAGGUCCAAGGGGAGGCAUAAUUUUUUAUCGAAAGGGUACAAAGCCAAGGAAGAGAGGGAUACUUCUAAGUCAGGGACAUGAAAGUGAUCAAUAUGACUUUGAAGAAAAGAUAAAUUUUGCUGUUUUUCCAUCAAUGCAAGGGGGGCCACACAAUAACCACAUUGCUGCGCUUGCUAUAGCUUUAAAACAAGUUGCUACUCCUGAGUAUAAGGCAUACAUGCAGCAGGUGAAGAAGAAUGCUCAAGCUUUAGCAUGUGCUUUACUGAGAAGAAAAUGCCGUCUAGUAACUGGGGGUACAGACAACCAUCUAAUACUUUGGGAUUUAAGGCCCCUGGGAUUGACAGGUAAAUUUUAUGAGAAGGUCUGUGAAACAUGUCAUAUUACUUUGAAUAAAAUUGCUAUUUUUGGCGACAAUGGAACUAUAAUUCCUGGAGGUGUAAGAGUAGGUACCCCUGCCAUGACGUCAAGAGGAUGUCUGGAAGCUCAUUUUGAGACAAUGGCUGAAUUUCUCAUUAGAGCUGCACAAAUUGCAAGCAUACUGCAGAGGGAGCAUGGGAAAUUGCAGAAGACAACAUUGAAGGGACUUGAGAGCAAUAGAGACGUCGUUGAGCUCCGGGCACGGGUUGAAGCUUUUGCAACUCAGUUUGCCAUGCCGGGUUUUGACAUUUGAACAUGAAGUGGCCGGUGAAUUGCCAUUAUUGAUUAUUUACAUAUGCGACAAUGGUGGGUCGUUGUGCCCGCUUUUUACAAAAGCACAUCUUGUUCUUAUAUUUUGUGGAGCUUCUCUCUUCUCUGCAUUGUAUGCAGUUGUCAGAUUUUCACAUCUUGCAGUGAGUUGCAAUCUGGUACAAGACAGUAUGUAAGUAGGUACUUCCGUACUGCUGUUGAGGUUUUGUCUGGUGAUCAAGUAUCUUGUUCCUACCUUGGAGGCUGCACCAUCCCAGCGGAAUGCAUCAAGUUAAGCCAUUAUAGGGGUUGGAACAGGGAUUCUUGAUCAACCAACCUGAGUACAGAAUUCUUCUGGUGAAUCUGCAGAAAAUAAUUACUCUGAUAAAAAGAAGCGCUUGAGUUCAUCCGCAAGUUUUGUCAGUGCGGUUUGUUUGAUGUACUCGGCGCAAGGGAAUUAAAUUGUUGCAGGUCAAUUGAGAUUUGAGGGGCAGUCACAAGAUAUCUUCUCAAACCAUUAAAGCUUGGGUUGGAUCGUGGCAUCAUCUUGGGGAUUAAACCUUUUAUCUCACUUGCUAAUGUAAGAAGGUUGCGUAUUUUGUGAUCGGUAUUAUAUGCAUAUGUUAUGCAACAGAUUUUUUUAUUACUCUUUCCAAAAUACAUUAUCCAAUUUAGUGUUUUUUUCAA